rnacentral:rRNA from 1 species
GACGAACGCUGGCGGCGUGCUUAACACAUGCAAGUCGAGCGGUAAGGCCCUUUCGGGGGUACACGAGCGGCGAACGGGUGAGUAACACGUGGGUGACCUGCCCUCAGCUCUGGGAUAAGCCUGGGAAACCGGGUCUAAUACUGGAUAUGACUCCAUGACGCAUGUUGGUGGGGUGGAAAGCCUUGUGCGGCUGAGGAUGGGCCCGCGGCCUAUCAGCUUGUUGGUGGGGUGAGGCCUACCAAGGCGACGACGGGUAGCCGGCCUGAGAGGGCGACCGGCCACACUGGGACUGAGACACGGCCCAGACUCCUACGGGAGGCAGCAGUGGGGAAUCUUGCGCAAUGGGCGAAAGCCUGACGCAGCGACGCCGCGUGAGGGAUGACGGCCUCGGUUGUAACGU